rnacentral:rRNA from 1 species
UGGGGGAUAUUGCACAAUGGGGGAAACCCUGAUGCAGCGACGCCGCGUGAGUGAAGAAGUAUUUCGGUAUGUAAAGCUCUAUCAGCAGGGAAGAAAAUGACAGUACCUGACUAAGAAGCCCCGGCUAACUACGUGCCAGCAGCCGCGGUAAUACGUAGGGGGCAAGCGUUAUCCGGAUUUACUGGGUGUAAAGGGAGCGUAGACGGUUAUGUAAGUCUGGAGUGAAAAGCCCGGGGCCAACCCGGCAGCUGCUUUGGAAAUGACUGUGUAACUAGAGUACAGGAGGGGCAGGCGGAAUUCCUGGUGUAGCGGUGAAAAUGCGUAGAUAUCAGGAGGAACACCGGCGGCGAAGGCGGCCUGCUGGACUGAAACUGACGUUGAGGCUCGAAAAGCGUGGGGAGCAAACAGGAUUAGAUACCC